AGUGAACGCUGGCGGUAGGCCUAACACAUGCAAGUCGAACGGCAGCACAGUAAGAGCUUGCUCUUACGGGUGGCGAGUGGCGGACGGGUGAGGAAUACAUCGGAAUCUACUUUUUCGUGGGGGAUAACGUAGGGAAACUUACGCUAAUACCGCAUACGACCUACGGGUGAAAGCAGGGGAUCUUCGGACCUUGCGCGAUUGAGUGAGCCGAUGUCGGAUUAGCUAGUUGGCGGGGUAAGGGCCCACCAAGGCGACGAUCCGUAGCUGGUCUGAGAGGAUGAUCAGCCACACUGGAACUGAGACACGGUCCAGACUCCUACGGGAGGCAGCAGUGGGGAAUAUUGGACAAUGGGCGCAAGCCUGAUCCAGCCAUACCGCGUGGGUGAAGAAGGCCUUCGGGUUGUAAAGCCCUUUUGUUGGGAAAGAAAAGCAGCAGGUUAAUACCCCGCUGUUCUGACGGUACCCAAAGAAUAAGCACCGGCUAACUUCGUG
rnacentral:rRNA from 1 species